rnacentral:lncRNA from 1 species
ACUUUGCAGGAGAGCAGAGUGGAUGCAGCAGCACAGCAUCGCUGUCUUCCUCCUCCACUCUCUCUUCUCAGUCCUUCGCCCGUCCCAGAGACUGACUCUGCUGUUUCUCUCAGUUCCUGCUCGGUCGACCUGUCCCUCUCUUCCCCUCUCUAUCUCUCUCUCCCCAUCUCUUUCUUUCUGUCUGCAUCUCCACUGAGUGAGGGAGAGGGAAGAGGAAGAGGCUGUGAGGGCUGCAGCACUCCGGCGGGAGUGAGCAGAGCUGCCUCAGCUGGAGCAGCAGAUUUUGCAAGAGCAGGACCUUGCUGGACGUCCAUCACCGGACCCGUAGAAGACUGCCAGCAUGUGCGACUGUUUUCAUCUGGCGUUCCCCAACUGGCAUGGGCCAGCCACGGGUGCUGGGCGAAGGCUGAGGGGACCUGAGCAAGAAACAGAAGAUGAUUCAGUAUGUGAGGAACCUGGGAUUUUAGAGGGGGAAAGACCUCGCCCUCAAGGCUCCUCCCCCGUGGAGGAAUUUCCAGCUGAAAAAACGGUAAUUAAUACAGUAGUAACAUACUGCAACCUAAGCAUUCUGUUUCAUUUUACUGAAAAUACUGUAAAC